AUUGAACGCUGGCGGCAUGCUUUACACAUGCAAGUCGAACGGCAGCACGGACUUCGGUCUGGUGGCGAGUGGCGAACGGGUGAGUAAUACAUCGGAACGUACCCAGUAAUGGGGGAUAACUAUCCGAAAGGAUAGCUAAUACCGCAUACGCCCUACGGGGGAAAGAGGGGGAUCGCAAGACCUCUUGUUAUUGGAGCGGCCGAUGGCUGAUUAGCUAGUUGGUGGGGUAAGGGCCUACCAAGGCAACGAUCAGUAGCGGGUCUUAGAGGACGAUCCGCCACACUGGAACUGAGACACGGUCCAGACUCCUACGGGAGGCAGCAGUGGGGAAUCUUGGACAAUGGGCGCAAGCCUGAUCCAGCAAUGCCGCGUGCGUGAAGAAGGCCUUCGGGUUGUAAAGCGCUUUUGUCAGGGAGCAAAUCCUUGUGGCUAAUACCCACCGGGGAUGAGAGUACCUGAAGAAUAAGGACCGGCUAACUACGUGCCAGCAGCCGCUGUAAGAC
rnacentral:rRNA from 1 species